rnacentral:lncRNA from 1 species
UAGGAGUUCACCAGGCAGACAGGAUGAGGUUAGCUGGGAUAUUUCAACAGCAUGGACAACAGGGCAUGAGAAAAUGGGAACAUGGCUAAAUGGUUCUUUAGGAAGAAGAGUCAGGCGCCUCUGGAAGGGAUGGUUUGGCCUACAGAGAGAAAACACAAAACCGAAGUACAGAGACUUUAGGUAACUUGUCCAAGGACACACAGAUGGGAUGGUAGGGACAGAAACUGCAGGGUCCGCAGAAGGAACUGCUCACCGAAAGCCAACAAGCUUGCCCUGUGGAAUCCCAGAAAGGCCCAGGAACUUCGGGACAUCACUGAAGGCAGAGUGAAGAGAGGAAGAGAAGACAGAGAAAUGGAGGGGAGAAAACUAUUAAAAUAAGUAAUAAGAAAACUUUCCCCAGAAGUGCAGAAUCUGAAUUUCCAGUAUAAAAGGGUCCAUUGAGCGCCAAGAACAAUGAAGGAAAAAAGGUCCCACUCAGGCCUACGUAUCAUUGUGAAAUUUCAGAACUAGAGGGAUAAAGAAAAGAUCCUAAAAGCUUCCCGAGAGAUAAAAAAGAAGAUUUUUACAAAGGAUCAGCAAUCAGAAUUGCCUCAGACUGCUCAAUAAAAACAUCAGAAGCUAGAAGAAAAUAGAAUGAGGCAUCAAAAUCCUGAGGGAAAUGAUUCCCACCUAUAAUUUCAUAUUCUGCUCAAUUAUCAAUUGAGUAUUGAAGGGAAAUAAAGACAUUUUUAGACAUG